GGACGGUUGGCUCAGUUGGUAAGAGCGCUCGGACACAACCCGAGAGGCGCGGGUUCGAGUGCCACAUUGUCCA